UAGUAUGGGGAUCUGCCCGAUAGAGGGUGAUAACUACUGGAAACGGUGGCUAAUACCGCAUAAUGUCUACGGACCAAAGCAGGGGCUCUUCGGACCUUGCACUAUCGGAUGAACCCAUAUGGGAUUAGCUAGUAGGUGGGGUAAAGGCUCACCUAGGCGACGAUCUCUAGCUGGUCUGAGAGGAUGAUCAGCCACACUGGGACUGAGACACGGCCCAG
rnacentral:rRNA from 1 species